rnacentral:rRNA from 1 species
CCUACGGGGGGCAGCAGUAGGGAAUCUUUCACAAUGGGCGAAAGCCUGAUGGAGUAACGCCGCGUGCAGGAUGAAGGCCUUCGGGUUGUAAACUGCUUUUAUUAGCGAGAAAACUGAUGGUAAUUUAUGUAUAAGGAUCGGCUAACUACGUGCCAGCAGCCGCGGUCAUACGUAGGAUCCGAGCAUUAUCCGGAGUGACUGGGUGUAAAGAGUUGUGCAGGUGGCAUAAUAAGUAGCUAGUGAAAUCUGGUGGCUCAACCAUUCAGACUAUUAGCUAAACUGUUAAGCUCGAGACCGUUAGGGGUAACUGGAAUUUCUAGUGUAGGAGUGAAAUCCGUAGAUAUUAGAAGGAACACCAAUGGCGUAGGCAGGUUGCUGGGACGGUUCUGACACUAAGGCACGAAAGCGUAGGGAGCAAACGGGAUUAGAUACCCGAGUAGUC